UCAGAAGAUCACUGGUUCCUUUUAUAAAAGAUUGUGGAUCUUCAGAUUGAUUCUGCCAUAUUCAGUUCCUGACAGUCAGGGUCGGCUUGUGGAAAGUUGUUAAACAACUUCCUUAAUGUGAAAUGUCAACCCUCACUCUAAGCUACUUCCCCUUUCAAAGCAUUGAAUGAAGACUUCAUUGGGUUUUAUAGUGGAUUUCUGAUUUUGGUAGUCUAUACAAGAAGGGAAUUUGAAAGUUCUUGUAUAUUGUUGACUGUCUGCCCAUGUCCUGCCUGAAAUACCAUGAUUGUUUAUGAAAAGUAUCUUUAAUAAAGCUGGUUACAGUUAAAAA
rnacentral:lncRNA from 1 species